GAUGAAGAACGCAGUGAAAUGCGAUAAGUAAUGUGAAUUGCAGAAUUCAGUGAAUCAUCGAAUCUUUGAACGCACAUUGCGCCCGCCAGUAUUCUGGCGGGCAUGCCUGUUCGAGCGUCAUUUCAACCAUCAAGCCCCCGGCUUGUGUUGGGGACCUGCGGCUGCCGCAGGACCUGAAAAGCAGUGGCGGGCUCGCUGUCACACCGAGCGUAGUAGCAUACAUCUCGCUCUGGGCGUGCUGCGGGUUCCGGCCGUUAAACCACCUUCAUAACCCAAGGUUGACCUCGGAUCAGGUAGGAAGACCCGCUGAACUUAAGCAUAUCAAUAAGCGGAGGA
rnacentral:misc_RNA from 1 species